AAACUGCUUUGCUGAGCUGCACAUAGAUCAUGUUACUUCCUAUUUUAUGAAAAACUUUAGUCAUUUGGGCACUGUCCCUGACCCCUUGACGGUGUUGAAGAAGCUGAGUGGACAGACGGGAAGCAUCACAGAAGCAGGGAGAGAAUGAGACCCACAGGUGGCAGCAUCUUCAGGCUCAGACAGAAUCUCACUGUUGGCUCAGAAUUCCAUGCAGAGAAAUUACUGCCAUCCUGCCAUCACCAGACUGAAGGCAGCAAGCACAGCUGAUGGCUGAACACCCAGGAUUGGUUCACUCAGCCCCUACCAUCUACUGCUGGGUUUCAGAGUUGCAUUUUUAAAAGAGUGAAAACCUCUAUCUACCAGAAAGGACAGAUGCCGUGGGGAACAGCGUCAGAUCUACAGGCCCCACCUAGUAACCCUCAGAGCUGGGCGCUACCACUGUCGCUCCUCUGCGUCUUUGACUCGGGGUUACACCGGUUUCCAAGAAAAGCGUGGCCAGUGUGAAUCACUGGACUCCAGACGGCUGGGUGUUUCAUAGAAGGCAAGAGAGGCGGCGGCAGCUAUGGCCAGAGGCUCUCCCAGGUAACAGCCGCCUGUCUCAUCUCUGCCCUUGUCUUCUCUCAGACCACCCGCCUCCUGGUAUUCCCUCCCCUCGCCACGCACCUCAGCCUGAAGCUCCUUCUUGUUAUCAGUAGGUUCAGUCAUCUAGAGAGAGCCAGGUGUGAGUUUUGGGCCAAAGUCUAAAUUCCUUGA